GGUCUGCAGCACACAGAUGGCUUCACUCUCAUGCCUGGUGCCUUGGUAAAGGCUGAAAGACUGGACUCAACUGGGACUGUCAACUGGAGUGUCUAUGUGUGGUGUGACUUCUCCAGAAAGGUGGUCUCAGGCUAGGUAGUGGCGGAAGACUAAGUGCACGAAGGCACUGACAUUGAUGAAGAGUAAAGUAUCCAUCACUCUGGAGUAUAUAUCUGCCUACUCAUCAUUUGUUUGCCAUCAACUCUAAGGAGCAUGAUGCUACUUGUUUUGCAUGAUCAUGUCAUGUAAUUUCUACAACAUGCCUUCAAGUUACAGUUUAUGAUCAGAGGAAGAAAAAGAAACAGAAGACUACACAAAACACUGAUCUGGCAGAGCUCAAAGGGAAAACAGCAGAACUCUGCAAGAUGAGCACAGGAAGAUAUUGAGAAUAAAAUACUAAAAUAAAUUAUAAUGAAUUUAAAAACAAAUAUAAAUAUUUUGAAAUGAUUCCUAAAACUGCUUUUCUUGUGCUGCUAAGGAGAGAAAUUUGCAUUUAGUAACUUUUUCACUCUCUCUUUCUUUAUAUUACUCAUUUGC